GAUGAACGCUGGCGGCGUGCCUAAUACAUGCAAGUCGAGCGAACAGACGAGGAGCUUGCUCCUCUGACGUUAGCGGCGGACGGGUGAGUAACACGUGGAUAACCUACCUAUAAGACUGGGAUAACUUCGGGAAACCGGAGCUAAUACCGGAUAAUAUAUUGAACCGCAUGGUUCAAUAGUGAAAGACGGUUUUGCUGUCACUUAUAGAUGGAUCCGCGCCGCAUUAGCUAGUUGGUAAGGUAACGGCUUACCAAGGCAACGAUGCGUAGCCGACCUGAGAGGGUGAUCGGCCACACGGAAACUGAGACCCGGCCCAGCCCCCGAGGGGAGGCAGAAGUAGGGAUUCUCCCGAAAGGGGCGAAAGUUUGACGGAGCAACGCCGGGGGAGUGAUGAAGGUUUUCGGAUCGAAAACCCUUUUUAUAGGGAAAAAAAAAAUGUGAAAGUAACUAUGCACGUCUGGACGGUACCAAUACAAAAAGCCACGGCUAACUACGC
rnacentral:rRNA from 1 species